UACGGGGGGGGGCAAGCGUUUGUUCGGAAUUACUGGGCGUAAAGGGCUCGUAGGCGGCCAACUAAGUCAUACGUGAAAUCCCUCGGCUUAACCGGGGAACUGCGUCUGAUACUGGAUGGCUUGAGUUCGGGAGAGGGAUGCGGAAUUCCAGGUGUAGCGGUGAAAUGCGUAGAUAUCUGGAGGAACACCGGUGGCGAAGGCGGCAUCCUGGACCGGCAUUGACGCUGAGGCGCGAAAGCCAGGGGAAGCAAAGCGGG
rnacentral:rRNA from 1 species